rnacentral:misc_RNA from 1 species
GGAGAGGUUUAUGGUGGCAGAGAGGAGAGUGUGGAAGGUGGAUGGGGAGAGGGCUGGGUAUGUGCAGAGGUAUGGGAGCUUGAGCCAUGUGGUCCUGUCGGGUUGCGGCCACAUUGCUGCUGCUGAUCGGAGGCAAAAUGUGCAGGCCAUGAUUGAAGAUUGGGUAAUGGAGAAGGGCUACUUUGGCAAUGAGUCACCUGCUGAGAAAGAUCCUGGCUUGUCGAGAUCUUACUGAAUCCUACUUAUCUCGGCUUGGAUGAUGAAGAAGUGCUUUCAGAAUCUGGAUUAAUAGUAAGUUGUACUUCC